rnacentral:rRNA from 1 species
CAAUAGCGUAUAUUUAAGUUGUUGCAGUUAAAAAGCUCGUAGUUGGAUUUCGGGUGGGACGCAGCGGUCUCGCAUUGCGUUUGUACUGCUGCAGCCCUCCUUCUUGCCGGGGGCGGCCUCUCGGACUUCACUGUCUGGGGGUCAGAAUCGGCGAUGUUACUUUGAGUAAAUUAGAGUGUUCAAAGCAAGCUUACGCUCUGAAUAUAAUAGCAUGGGAUAACACGACAGGACUCUGGCCUAUCGUGUUGGUCUAUAGGACCAGAGUAAUGAUUAAGAGGGACAGUCGGGGGCAUUCGUAUUCCGUUGUCAGAGGUGAAAUUCUUGGAUUUACGGAAGACAAACAUCUGCGAAAGCAUUUGCCAAGGAUGUUUUCAUUGA